rnacentral:rRNA from 1 species
UACGGGGGGGGCAAGCGUUGUUCGGAAUUACUGGGCGUAAAGCGCACGUAGGUGGCGACGUAAGUCGGGUGUGAAAGCCCCGGGCUCAACCUGGGAAUUGCAUUCGAGACUGCAUUGCUGGAGUACGGAAGAGGAGGGCGGAAUUCCCGGUGUAGCGGUGAAAUGCGUAGAUAUCGGGAGGAACAUCAGUGGCGAAGGCGGCCCUCUGGUCCAGUACUGACACUCAAGUGCGAAAGCGUGGGGAGCAAACAGG